UCUUCUGUAAUGAUUCCAUGGCUGUGUGGCAUGGGCUCCAUGGGUAUAUCCACCUGCAUGGAUAUAUCGGCACAUACAUGGUAUGGACUGCGUGAUCUCAACAUAAAGGCGUUCCAAAAGUACCCUCUAGAGUUAGACGUUGACUGAAGAAUACGAAGACAGUUGCCUGAGUUGGGCUUUAGUGUGACAACCGAAAGUCGUCGGGCGCUUGCGCCCUCUGUGACGACCCGAAGGUAGAGUCGAGAACUUUAGAAGAACAUCAGAGAGUUACCGAUUCCAACAUGAUGCUGACUGCAUUCACCUUCCGAGUAACACAGUCUUCGCAAUGUAACUUUCCAAAAAGAAAGCCCGAGUAAGUGUAAUACAUCACGGAUGCGCUAAUUUGAUGAAGAUGAAAUGAAUGCUCCGUACAUGAACAGUAUUUGACACAGUGUCCUGAUUUGAGGACCUAAAGAGAACGGCGCGGCACUGUUAUUAGAUGACUCGUUAACUGAAGACUAUAUCUUUAGUCAGCGGCUGACCAUCAAAGGGCCUGGCCGAUUGAGUCUGGAAUCGACAGGAGAGAUAGAAUGCGUAUUUCUUGUAAAUCUAGCCGAAUUCUUCAGUCCGGAAACAACCGCGCGGUAGAGCGGACGUAUGAAAAUCGCGCUCCGCAGAUUUUGUGUGCCGGGUUCUCUACCUCCUGGAUCCUGCGCUCCGGGUCCGUUUCCUGGUGCAACUCGACUUCCAGGACAAGCGCCCCGUAGUUUC